GGAGUUUGGACCGUGUCUCAGUUCCAAUGUGGGGGACCUUCCUCUCAGAACCCCUACUGAUCGCGGGCUUGGUGGGCCGUUACCCCGCCAACAACCUAAUCAGACGCAUCCCCAUCCCAUAGCGGUGAACCUUUGGUAUUCUUCAGAUGUCAUCGAAAUACAACAUAGAGCAUUAAUCCGACUUUCGCCGGGCUAUUCCCUAGUAAGGGGAAGGUUGGAUACGCGUUACUCACCCGUGCGCCGGUCGCCAUCAAAGUUUGCAAGCAAACUUCAUGCUGCCCCUCGACUUGCAUGUGUUAAGCCUGUAGCUAGCGUUCAUCCUGAGCCAUGAUCAAAACUCU
rnacentral:rRNA from 1 species